rnacentral:rRNA from 1 species
AGAGUUUGAUUAUGGCUCAGGACGAACGCUGGCGGCGUGCCUAAUACAUGCAAGUCGAACGAAGCUUUCUUUCACCGAAUGCUUGCAUUCACCGAAAGAAGCUUAGUGGCGAACGGGUGAGUAACACGUAGGCAACCUGCCCAAAAGAGGGGGAUAACACUUGGAAACAGGUGCUAAUACCGCAUAACCAUGAACACUGCAUGAUGUUCAUGUAAAAGACGGCUUUUGCUGUCGCUUUUGGAUGGACCUGCGGCGUAUUAACUUGUUGGUGGGGUAACGGCCUACCAAGGUGAUGAUACGUAGCCGAACUGAGAGGUUGAUCGGCCACAUUGGGACUGAGACACGGCCCAAACUCCUACGGGAGGCAGCAGUAGGGAAUCUUCCACAAUGGACGAAAGUCUGAUAGAGCAACGCCGCGUGAAUGAAGAAGGCCUUCGGGUCGUAAAAUUCUGUUGUCAGAGAAGAACGUGCGUGAGAGUAACUGUUCACGUAUUGACGGUAUCUGACCAGAAAGCCACGGCUAACUACGUGCCAGCAGCCGCGGUAAUACGUAGGUGGCGAGCGUUGUCCGGAUUUAUUGGGCGUAAAGGGAACGCAGGCGGUCUUUUAAGUCUGAUGUGAAAGCCUUCGGCUUAACCGAAGUAGUGCAUUGGAAACUGGAAGACUUGAGUGCAGAAGAGGAGAGUGGAACUCCAUGUGUAGCGGUG